CCUGAUUAGAUCAUUCGAAUCGUGCUCAACUCAAACAGUCCUGUGACUCCUCACUAGGACUACCCUGGUCAAGAUUUUGCUAAAUUGAAAUAUGACUGUACACAGCCCCUGAACUGGAGUGGUCAAUCCCAUCUUGACACACGCACCGAUAAGUCAAGUACUUGACUACACCCAGCAGCCUUCCUUCACUGAAUUAGAAAUUCAGAUAGUCCAGUGCUUAAGUGCAGUGAGUUGCUUGCAAGUCACCAUGGUGGUCUUA
rnacentral:lncRNA from 1 species